UAACAGCUCAAAUUUGAAAUCUGGCUCCUCGGGGCCCGAAUUGUAAUUUGGAGAAGAUGCUUUGGGUCUGGGCCUGGCCUAAGUUCCUUGGAACAGGACGUCGUAGAGGGUGAGAAUCCCGUAUGCGGCUGGCGCCCGUGCCCGUGUAAAGCUCUUUCAACGAGUCGAGUUGUUUGGGAAUGCAGCUCUAAAUGGGUGGUAAAUUUCAUCUAAAGCUAAAUAUUGGCCAGAGACCGAUAGCGCACAAGUAGAGUGAUCGAAAGAUGAAAAGCACUUUGGAAAGAGAGUUAAACAGUACGUGAAAUUGUUGAAAGGGAAGCGCUGGCAACCAGACUUGGGCGCUGUUGAUCCGCUAGGGUUCUCUCUAGGGCACUCGGCAGUGCGCAGGCCAGCAUCGGUUUGGGGGGUUGGAGAAUGGCUGGUGGAAUGUGGCUGUCUUUGGGCAGUGUUAUAGCCACCG
rnacentral:rRNA from 1 species